CCUACGGGUGGCAGCAGUGGGGAAUAUUGGGCAAUGGAGGAAACUCUGACCCAGCAACGCCGCGUGAAUGAUGAAGGUCUUCGGAUUGUAAAGUUCUUUUCUAAGGGAAGAAGAAAGUGACGGUACCUUAGGAAUAAGCCUCGGCUAACUACGUGCCAGCAGCCGCGGUAAUACGUAGGAGGCAAGCGUUAUCCGGAAUGACUGGGCGUAAAGGGUGCGUAGGUGGUUUGACAAGUUGGUAGCGUAACUCCGGGGCUCAACCUCGGCACUACUACCAAAACUGUCGGACUUGAGUGCAGGAGGGGCAAAUGGAAUUCCUAGUGUAGCGGUGAAAUGCUUAGAUAUCACGAAGAACUCCGAUUGCGAAGGCAGCUUACUAAACUGCCACUGACAUUGAUGCUCGAAAGUGUGGGUAUCAAACAGGAUUAGAUACCCCAGUAGUC
rnacentral:rRNA from 1 species